rnacentral:rRNA from 1 species
AUUGAACGCUGGCGGCAUGCCUUACACAUGCAAGUCGAACGGCAGCACGGGAGCAAUCCUGGUGGCGAGUGGCGAACGGGUGAGUAAUGUAUCGGAACGUACCUUUCAGUGGGGGAUAACGUAGCGAAAGUUACGCUAAUACCGCAUAUUCUGUGAGCAGGAAAGCAGGGGAUCGCAAGACCUUGCGCUGAUUGAGCGGCCGAUAUCAGAUUAGCUAGUUGGUGAGGUAAAGGCUCACCAAGGCGACGAUCUGUAGCGGGUCUGAGAGGAUGAUCCGCUACGACUGGAACUGAGACACGGUCCAGACUCCUACGGGAGGCAGCAGUGGGGAAUUUUGGACAAUGGGCGCAAGCCUGAUCCAGCCAUGCCGCGUGAGUGAAGAA